rnacentral:tRNA from 1 species
GGGCAGCUAGCUCAGCUGGUUAGAGCGCUUCAUUCACAUUGAAGAGGCCACAAGUUCGAAUCUUGUGCUGCCCACCA